GAUGAAGAACGUAGCGAAAUGCGAUAAGUAAUGUGAAUUGCAGAAUUCAGUGAAUCAUCGAAUCUUUGAACGCACAUUGCGCCCGCCAGCAUUCUGGCGGGCAUGCCUGUUCGAGCGUCAUUUCAACCCUCGACUUCCCUUUGGGGAAAUCGGCGUUGGGGACUGGCAGCAUACCGCCGGCCCCGAAAUGGAGUGGCGGCCCGUCCGCGGCGACCUCUGCGUAGUAAUCCAACCUCGCACCGGAACCCCGACGUGGCCACGCCGUAAAACACCCCACUUUCUGAACGUUGACCUCGGAUCAGGUAGGAAUACCCGCUGAACUUAAGCAUAUCAAUAAGCGAGGA
rnacentral:misc_RNA from 1 species